AAAGACCUUGACCUUAAAAACAGUAAACAUUUUAUACCGAUACAUAGCCCAAUGCAGUCUAUCAUCAAUAUGUAUAUUUGGAUUAAAAUAUAUGGAAACUGUGUCGUUGUGGAUAUGAUGUUUCUGUUCAGACAAAUCUGGAAAAAAAGAACAGUACUUUCAAAGCAAAAUUACCACAUGCAGAACUGUGAUGUUGCAGGACUCAUCCCUGGAAGUUCGAAACGACUCUAUUCCAGUUAUUAGCUGUUAAUACGGAAUUUUGGAUGAUAACGAGAAGAAGAUUUGAAUAAUCUCCGUCUUGAUUGCGUUUGUGAGACAGUGUGUUUUGCUGCAUACACAUCACAUACAUGUAUAAUUACAAAUUAGUUCUGGUCCUCUUAGUCAUGCAAUUCAAAGCUUAACAACUCCAUGUAAUUAAAAAUUUAUAAUUUCCUCAAAUAGCCAACGUUUCUACUCUAUUUCGUUUCUUAUUUUUAUUCCCCAUCAGCAAGAAUUCAAUUAUGUAUUCUUAGGUUACAAAUUAGAUAACGCCUGAUUGGACAAAAUUAAUUUAAAAAAAUAGAAAAAAAUAGAGAAGAAUAGUCAGAAAAUAAAUAAAAGAGAAAACAAGAGAUAACAUGGCAUGUAUCAUUUUACUAAAUACAGAAAUAUAGACGCCGCCUUCACCAUCCACACCCUCUUCAUCUAAGUCGCAAUCACUUCAUUAUCUACAUGAUAUAAUUGUCAACUAUUAUAUGUGUAUUAUUUCUUCAGUUAUCUCUUAUUUAUAAUGACUUCAACAUAUAGACGUAGGGAAGUCUGUAUAGCUCUAUCAAGUAUUCAAUGUCUGCAAUAUUUUUUCUCCUGGAUUUACUUGACUGAUACGAUGUGUUUAAGCUCACUGGCGAAAUGUUUUCAAUGUCUAAGAUCUUAAUGAUAUACUCAGAUGAAAUUAAAUCAAAAUGUAGAAUUUAAAAUUUAUAUUAUAAGUCAGCUAAUAACAUUAAUAGGUUAUGGAACUCCUUUCAACUAUUUGAUUUUAAAAAAAAAGCCUGGUAAAGGCUGAUUUUUACCUUA